CAAUACACUGCCUGGCGGCGACCGCACUCCAAAAAAAAAAUCCCAAACAAUUUACAGCUGUUAAAUAAUAUUUAUCGAUUACAAAUUUUAAGCAAUCGAAAUUUUUUCUCCAUAGUCAAGCAGUAACACUCGGAAAACGAAAACUCGUAAAUUUUUUGAUUUUCAAAAAUCCCUUUCCUGGACCCACCCCAAAGCGAUUAGCUAAGAUAAGAAGUAAAAAGGAUAUGUUUUGAUUUUUAUGUGAACAAACACAUAUGUUAUGGACGACUUUUUAUAUUUUUUGUGAGAAUUUAACUAUCAAAUCAAACCCAAUGGUGGAAUCAGACACCAGCUGGAGAGUCGUUCAGCGCCAACUUUAUCAAUGCCUAGCAUUAGGACGCAUCUCCUAUUCGGUGCACGAAUACUUACCAAUCAUUCUAUAAUCAUAGCUACCAUAAGCUUAUAAAAGAAGGCUUAACAUGCCUGACGCAUUUAAUGUACUUGGAGUACUAAGCAGCAUAAAAUAUCUGCGACUUACUGUAGAAUACUAUAGAAUUAACUACACAAAAAAAAAAUAAAAAAAAAAUACAACUUUGGUCAAACCUAAAUUCACUAAAAUUACAUCUCGAAAAAAAAGUUUGAAGCAAGAAAUGAAGCAAUCUCAAAAUCUAUGUCAUCCAUGACAUCUAUGUCAUAAUAGUGUCACCAUAGUAAGGUGUUAUCAGGACUCGAAUCCCAUUCUUUCAGUUAAGAAGGGAAGGAUCUUCACGGAUUUAGUGCUUGCAAAGUAGCACAAAAGGGUACAUGCGAAGUAUAUCCGACUUAUGCCACCAAAAAAUGUAAAUUCAAACCUCAUAAUAUGUGUCGCUUGGUGUUUUAUAGAUGUAAUUUUGUUUGGUUAUAUGGAAAACAUGCCGCUAUUGUAAUGGGAGAUACCUGUAAAGUCGUGGGUGCUGAAGACGCCAUUAAAGACUGAACGAACACUAACGUCAAAGAACUUCCUCUAUAAAAGAGUGCCAUUUUUGGGAGCGGAUAUGGGAGUGACAAAAUUUUGAACAAAAAAUGGAUUUUCGUGAGAUUUAUUUCAUUUCGUUAAACCCAAUCAGACUUUUCGCGCUAGCUGGUAUCUGUAAAAUAUAGGUUCAGGCAAAGGUUAUACAGACAAUAGAUGAGAAAAAUCACAAAAACAAAAGUGGCAGGUCCCACGAACGGACAAGUUUGAGAUAUUUUUAUCACGCGAUUCUCGCGCGACGAUUCAGCAUAGCUGAAUCAAAAAUGUCAAAAUUAUUUAUAUAAA